rnacentral:rRNA from 1 species
ACGUGGGCAACCUGCCUGUAAGUUGGGGAUAACUCCGGGAAACCGGGGCUAAUACCGAAUGAUAAAGUGUGGCGCAUGCCACGCUUUUGAAAGAUGGUUUCGGCUAUCGCUUACAGAUGGGCCCGCGGUGCAUUAGCUAGUUGGUAGGGUAAUGGCCUACCAAGGCAACGAUGCAUAGCCGACCUGAGAGGGUGAUCGGCCACACUGGGACUGAGACACGGCCCAGACUCCUACGGGAGGCAGCAGUAGGGAAUCUUCCGCAAUGGACGAAAGUCUGACGGAGCAACGCCGCGUGUAUGAAGAAGGUUUUCGGAUCGUAAAGUACUGUUGUUAGAGAAGAACAAGGAUAAGAGUAACUGCUUGUCCCUUGACGGUAUCUAACCAGAAAGCCACGGCUAACUACGUGCCAGCAGCCGCGGUAAUACGUAGGUGGCAAGCG